rnacentral:snRNA from 1 species
AUGCUCGUUUUGGCAACACAUAUACUAAAAUUGGAACGAUACGGAGAAGAUUAGCAUGGCCCCUGUGCAAGGAUGACAUGCAAAUUUGUGAAGCAUUCCAUAUUUUU